rnacentral:rRNA from 1 species
UACGGAGGGUGCAAGCGUUAUCCGGAAUCACUGGGUUUAAAGGGUAUGUAGGCGGGAUUCUAAGUCAGAAGUGAAAGGCCGUGGCUUAACCAUGGGAUUGCUUUUGAAACUGGAAUUCUUGAGUACGGCAGAGGUGCGUGGAAUGCGUCAUGUAGCGGUGAAAUGCAUAGAUAUGACGUAGAACACCAAUAGCGAAGGCAGCGCACUAGACCGUAACUGACGCUGAUGUACGAAAGCGUGGGUAGCGAACAGG